CGGAUGUGUCCUGACGCCGUAUGGCCAUGA
rnacentral:sRNA from 1 species